rnacentral:lncRNA from 1 species
AGAAAGCUGCACAGUAUGUAGGCAGUCAGCUUUAUCCAGCACGCAAUCUUGUUGGCUGUCACUGUAAGAUUGUUAAAGCUUGUGUCCUAGCCAUCACUUGUCAUGAGGAUCUCUACAGAGGCAGGACCAUCUAUGUAUGUUUCUCGCUCUAGCCACCCAGGCUCUUGGGGCUUGUUGGCUCCAGGGGAUGCUGGUGGGCUGCUGCAUGCCUGAGAGAUGGCUGGGGAGGUACCAAAAAAUGAUGAGGUUACAGAGCUGAGAUUGAAGACGCUUUGAAGGCAGGAGUGGUAAUGGGAAAUACUGGAGAAGACUGAAUGUGAGAGGCAGAUUUUGCAGGAGAGGGAAGUAUAGAAGUGGAAAAGGGGGAUACAUGUAUGAGCAGAAGGGAGGUAAGACUGUUGUAUUGCGUGUGGGAAGAGAUUGGGAAUAUAGUGUGUGUUGGAAGGCAGGUCAGAGCUGUAAGGCAGGGGAGGUAUUAGAAUGUUGGUCUGUGUCAGAGGAGAUCCUCCCCAUGCAUCUGAACAAUUUACCAUCCAGUGGCUGAGUAUGCAGUCUGACAACUGACGCACGGUGGCUGCAACCCCAACCCACCAGCUGCUCAGCAAAAGCUGCUGCCUGAGGCUGAGCUGGAUGCACGUGUCUGAUGCCUACCACCAUUAACAAAAUGGUUAACUUACACAUACUCAUCUGUGUUGGCCCAGAGUAAUCUCCAAAUGGAAGAACCUCAUGGCAGGACAAGAUGCCCACCAACAGCACCAGUCAGUUCUGCCCCAGGUGAAAGAAGGAUUCAGCCAAUGGCAUCGCAAGGGCAAAUACUGGGUAUUAAUUUCACAGCUUUUCAUGCUGUAUGGAAGACACAUAGAACUACGUGGCCCCAAUCAGACAGGCAUCCCCAGAAAUACAGCAAAGGAGCAGGAACAUCAGCCAAGGAUAUAAGUGGCUCCCCCUACCUCAUGCACAAAGGCUGCCGCACAGGGGGGCAGAGCAGGAGAACCUUUACCCAGGGGCCAUCCCAUGCUACAACCUUCUCGUAUUGGUGUGGACCAAAGGACAGGGGAGCCAAGCUGUUGACGUCACCUCACCUCAGCCAUAGACAGGGCUCUCUCUCACACCCUCCCUCGCUGCCUGCACAAGGACGUGCUUGGCUGACGGAGGCCAAGCUGCGCUGCCCAGUGACAUCAGCUCUCCCGGUACGCACAUGUGCUUCCAUUUCAGAGACUCCUUUCAUUUGCUUCUCAUCCCUGUAG